UUAAAUAUACCAUUAUCACAAAAUAGACAUAAGAUGGUGACAAAAUGACAACAAAUAUACCAUUUUACAUCUAAUUAUAUUCUUUAAAAAAUGAGAAACCAGUAAGAUUAAUCACAAUAGGAAUUCUCAUUGAAGAUCAGACACAAGUUAAAGGUCCAAAAGCCAAACAUACAUGCCAGACAACAACUACUGAGAAUAAAAAGUUUCAGACACUUGAAAUGACAUGAUAAACAAUGACCUCAAGAAUCCAUAACAAAUGCCAGAUUCACCCACAAGAUUAAUUCCCUUCACCUAAUCUACUUAAACAAGCUCCCUACUAUUUCUUCUUGAUGUUAUAACUUUCCGAUUUCUCGAAAUUCCCUCCACCCGCCGCCUGUGCUGCUUUCCUUGCCGCCUUUUCUUGAAGUGCCUUUGCAUCCCUGUUGAGAUAUUAAACACAACAUCCGUGUUAGGAACACAAGCUAAUCGCCCUAAAACACGAGACUUUUGGAGAAAAUUGGCGAAGGAGGAACCUUUCUCGUCUUUGUUCAGGAGUUAAUCCAUCAUUCUUAGGUUGCUUGGUCUUGUGAUUUUCCCUGGCUUGAGCCCUUUCACGAUAUCUAUCUCUCUGGUUCCCGCGUUAGCUUAAGUUAAGGUCAAAACAGGUAGGGAUCGAAUUAAAGUAUGGCAACAUCUAACCAAAGAGAAGGAAAAAAAAACUAAUCUUUGGACCCCAUAGCUGAAGGUAAGAUCACGAGCUUAUGAAGAAUGAAAAUUUAAACUUGACGAAUCCAACCUUUAAAGUUCUUAGCACUGAAUUCAUUGUAUUUUUUUAAUUAUGAAUUCAAAAUUUAAUAUUCAUUGAUAUUUUAAUAACUUUUCACAUAUAUAUUCCCCGUAGAAAAUAGUGGUUCACUUGAACUCACUUUAUAUAGGCUGCAUUCGCCUCUUAUCUGAAGUAUUAUCAAUAUGAGAGAUCACAAUUGAAAGGGCUCAAAUUAAAUCCCCCGACCCCACCUGAUUUCUUAGCAACCAGACGAAUGGAGAAAGAAUCUUGUUUAUCGUUUGACAAAAAUAUGCAUGAAUGUCAGAAAGAUCAUGUUAUGAAAGAAUGGUUAAUUAAAUAGUACGAGAUAUUAUACUUUUAACAAAGGCUCUAUUUUUAGAUUCUUCCCCCAAUUUCUAGGCAACCAACCAAAAGGAUCAAAUGAGCUUGUACAUGAAUAAGCACCAAUAGAAAAAAUAAGAGCUUACCCCAGAAAAAGUUCUAUCUUGAGAUAAUAGUAAGGUUGCGCACGCACUAUCCUCCUCGUACCCCUUAUGGGAUUACACGGGGUUUGUUAUUGUUGUACUCUUACCCGGCGGCGGAGGCAGAAUUUUUGCUAAGGGGUUCAAAAUAGAAAAGUUAAAAAAUUAAAAAAGAAUGUGGCCAGAAUUGAACCAAGGAUCUCUUACAAAGGUUUUGAACCCGAGCUAUGCUUUUGGACAAUAUGAAGGAGAUUCAAAAUAAAAUAUAUAAAGUCAUAAAAUAGAUUUUGCCUUAUAUGUAAAGUGUAAUUUUUCGACGGCAGUAUCAGAGUAAAUCACUUUCCGCCCUCCUAAAUCCGCCCUUACCCAAUUUUAGGCAAACAACCCAAAAUAACUAAAAUCUAAGCGACCAAACAAAUGAAAAAAGAAAGAACCUUGUUUAUGAAAAGGGAAAGAAAAAACCGAUGAAGAUUAGCAUGAAGAAAAUCAGAGAAAAGAAACAUAUCAGAAGGAUAUGAGACAUUCCCAAUUCUCCAACAGCCAAACAAAAUUAGAUGGAUAAAUAGCUCUAGACAAGAUCCUGGAACCAAAACACAAACCAAAAAAAAAAAAAAAGGAGGAAAUUUUAGAAGAAAAGAAAACCAUCACCGAAUUACACCCUAACAGAACCGAACGAAAUUGACAGAUGAGAAAUAAUAAUUCGUGUAAAAGAAAUUGGGGUUUAUCUGAUUGAGCUUGGAUUAGAAGUUGUUUGCUUAAGAUCGACCUUGAAAUUUGAGAACAAACUUCAAAGCAGCAGAAUGAUAUUGAGAAGUUGGGUUAUUUGGAAAUGCCAGGGUUUAGGGAAGUAGGUGAUUUAUAGUGUAAGAUCAGAAGCAUCGAGAAGUCACGGUUUCUCUUUUUCCUCUUCACGUUUUAUUCCACUGAGCGUAUAAAAUGUGAGGUUAGACAAAAUUUUAGCUUUAGAAACUUCUGCGAGUAAUUUGUUUCCGAAGAUACAAAUGAAAGGGAAAGUUGCAUAAUUGGAUGUUUUGUAUUGAUGAAAAAUAAAUUUAUCAUUUGGACAAAUUGAAUCUCGAUAUGUAUCAAGAAUAUUAAGUGAAAAUAGCAUGACCUAGUUACUUUUUGGAUCGGUAACCAAAAAAUAAUCAGCAUUUGCAAAC
rnacentral:lncRNA from 1 species